UGAGCAAUCUGCCCUUCACAUCGGAAUAACCAUUGGAAACGAUGGCUAAUACCGAAUAUGACUUCGGAUCGCAUGAUCUGAAGUGGAGAGCUCCGGCGGUGAAGGAUGAGCUCGCGGCCUAUCAGCUAGUUGGUGUGGGUAAUGGCCCACCAAGGCGACGACGGGUAGCCGGCCUGAGAGGGUGACCGGCCACACUGGGACUGAGACACGGCCCAGCUCCG
rnacentral:rRNA from 1 species